GCAGUGAGGGAUAUUGGUCAAUAGCCUAACGGCUGAACCAGCAACUUGGAGGAAUGUAUAGUGAAAGCUAAUUGCACUGGCCAAAGGCUGGUGCAAGAUCGACUAUGUUGAAUAAAGUUCUAGAGAGAGUUAUGAUAAUGACAUUUUCUAUCUAUGUGUCUUGACCAAAUCACGUGCCAGCAGUCGCGGUAAUACGUGGAAGACUAGUGUUAUUCAUCUUUAAUAGGUUUAAAGGGUACUUAGACGGUUAAUCAAACCCUAAAGGGUACUAAUUGACUAGAGUUUUAUAUGAGAAGGGGAGUACUAAAGAGUGUAGAGAUGAAAUUUUGUUAUACCUGACUUGGAACAGGCAACGGCGAAGGCAACCUUUUAUGUAAAAACUGACGUUGAAGGACGAAGGCUUAGGACACCAACAGGAUUAGAUACCCCAGCAGUCUAAGCAGAAAAUGAUGAAUGUCAUAGAUUAGAAUUACAGUUUUGUCUAUAAAUGAAAGUGUAAGCAUUCCACCUCAAGAGUAAUGUGGCAACGCAGAAACUGAAAUCAUUAGACCGUUUCUGAAACCAGUAGUGAAGUAUGUUGUUUAAUUUGUUGGCCCGCAAAACACCUUACCACAAUUUGAAUAUUAUAUAAUUGAAUAUUUUUGUUUUUAUAUAUUACAAGCGUUGCACGGCUGUUUUCAGUUAAUGUCGUGAGAUUUUGGUUAGUUCCAUUAAAUUAACGUAAACCCUUACUUUAUUUAUUAUUAUAAAGUAGUUCACCGCUAUAUUGGAUAUGAUAAAAGGGAAUAAGACAAGUCAAUAUGGCCUUAAUAUUGUGGGCUAUAGACGUGCCACAUAUGCCUUUACAAAGGGAUGCGAAAUUGUGAAAUGG
rnacentral:rRNA from 1 species